rnacentral:rRNA from 1 species
GAUCCUGGCUCAGGAUGAACGCUAGCGGGAGGCCUAACACAUGCAAGCCGAGCGGUAGAUUGCUUUCGGGCAAUUGAGAGCGGCGCACGGGUGCGGAACACGUGUGCAACCUGCCUUUAUCUGGGGGAUAGCCUUUCGAAAGGAAGAUUAAUACCCCAUAAUAUAUUGAUUGGCAUCAAUUAAUAUUGAAAGCUCCGGCGGAUAGAGAUGGGCACGCGCAAGAUUAGAUAGUUGGUGAGGUAACGGCUCACCAAGUCAAUGAUCUUUAGGGGGCCUGAGAGGGUGAUCCCCCACACUGGUACUGAGACACGGACCAGACUCCUACGGGAGGCAGCAGUGAGGAAUAUUGGACAAUGGGUGAGAGCCUGAUCCAGCCAUCCCGCGUGAAGGACGACGGCCCUAUGGGUUGUAAACUUCUUUUGUACCAGGGAUAAACCUACCCUCG